UUCAUUAAGGUCAUGGAGGAACACAAGGAUCAGCAUUUCAUUUUGGCACCAUAUCAUCAAAAGGCAUUUCGAUCUCUUUCUACAAUUGGAGGAAGAACUAAAGCGAUUGAUUGGAAGCAAUGCAAAUGUCCACAACAGCCGGGAGG